UACUCUCUUGGUGUGUACUGGGUGUUAACCUCCUUUUUUCUGGUACUUGCUAUCCAGCAAUGGGUAGUUUUGUCCAGAUAGUUUACUUUGAAAAAAUUAGAGUGUUCAAAGCAGGCAUAAUUGGCAUCAUGAAUACAUUAGCAUGGGAUAAUAGAAUAUGACAUUGGUCUUAUUUUGUUGGUUUCUAAGGCCAAAGUAAUGAUUGAUAGGGAUAGUUGGGGCCGCUCGUAUUGAGUUGUCAGAGGUGAAAUUCUAGGAUUUACUCAAGACGAACUAAUGCGAAAGCAUUCGGCAAGGAUGUUUUCAUUAAUCAAGAACGAAAGUUGGGGAUCGAAGAUGAUCAGAUACCGUCGUAGUCUCAACCAUAAACUAUGUCAACCGAGGAUCCGGUAGCGUUACAUGGAUGACCUUCCGGGCACUCUGUGAGAAAUCAUAAGUAUUGGA
rnacentral:rRNA from 1 species